rnacentral:snoRNA from 1 species
UGGAGAAGGAUGAUAGUGUGUCAUGAAACAAGUAUUAUCAUUAAUCCAGUUCUACUCCCCUAAGUUCCAAA